GCAGAAACAGUUGGGUAGCUGUUCCAAAGAGGGUGACAGGCCCGUAUGCGAAAUCUUGUACUCUCUAAUCAGGAUCCUGAGUACGGCCCAGCACGUGAAAUUGGGUCGGAAUCUGGGAGGACCAUCUCCCAAGGCUAAAUACUAACUAGUGACCGAUAGCGAACAAGUACCGUGAGGGAAAGGUGAAAAGAACCCCGGAAGGGGAGUGAAAUAGUUCUUGAAACCGUGUGCUUACAAGAAGUUCGAGGCCGUUAAUGGCUGAGAGCGUGCUUUUUGUAGAAUGAACCGGAGAGUUACGAUUGCGUGCAAGGUUAAGGUGCAAAGACUGGAGCCGUAGCGAAAGCGAGUCUUAAUAGGGCGAAUCAGUACGUAGUUGUAG
rnacentral:rRNA from 1 species